AAGCGUUUAUGACCAGACUUGGGCUUGGUUAAUCAUCUGGGGUUCUCCCCAGUGCACUUUUCCAGUCCAGGCCAGCAUCAGUUUUCCCCGGGGGAUAAAGGCGGCGGGAAUGUGGCUCUCUUCGGGGAGGCCUUAUAGGGGAGACGACAUGCAACCAGCCUGGACUGAGGUCCGCGCAUCUGCUAGGAUGCUGGCGUAAUGG
rnacentral:rRNA from 1 species